rnacentral:rRNA from 1 species
AUACGUAGGGUGCAAGCGUUAAUCGGAUUUACUGGGCGUAAAGCGCGCGUAGGUGGCUAAUUAAGUCAAAUGUGAAAUCCCCGAGCUUAACUUGGGAAUUGCAUUCGAUACUGGUUAGCUAGAGUAUGGGAGAGGAUGGUAGAAUUCCAGGUGUAGCGGUGAAAUGCGUAGAGAUCUGGAGGAAUACCGAUGGCGAAGGCAGCCAUCUGGCCUAAUACUGACACUGAGGUGCGAAAGCAUAGGGAGCAAACAGGAUUAGAUACCCUGGUAGUCCAUGCCGUAAACGAUGUCUACUAGCCGUUGGGGCCCUUGAGGCUUUAGUGGCGCAGCUAACGCGAUAAGUAGACCGCCUGGGGAGUACGGUCGCAAGACUAAAACUUAAAUGAAUUGGCGGGG